GGCGAGGUGGCCGAGUUGGUUAUGGCGCCAGGUUAAGGUCACCCUUAACGAGUACAAUCUGAUUCCUGGUGGGGCAACCCGCGCGAGUUCGAGUCUCGUCCUCGUCA